GAUGAACGCUAGCGGCAGGCCUAAUACAUGCAAGUCGAACGGUGUCUUCGGACAUAGUGGCGCACGGGUGCGUAACACGUAUGCAACCUACCUUACAUUGGGGGAUAGCCUUUCGAAAGGGAGAUUAAUACCGCAUAAGACAGUAGCUGGGCAUCCAGCAGCUGUUAAAGAUUUAUCGAUGUAAGCUGGGCAUGCGUCCAAUUAGCUAGUUGGUGAGGUAACGGCUCACCAAGGCAAUGAUUGGUAGGGGAACUGAGAGGUCAAUCCCCCACACUGGCACUGAGAUACGGGCCAGACUCCUACGGGAGGCAGCAGUAGGGAAUAUUGGGCAAUGGACGCAAGUCUGACCCAGCCAUGCCGCGUGCAGGAUGAAGGCGUUAUGCGUUGUAAACUGCUUUUAUACAGGAAGAAACGACUCUUGCGAGAGGCAUUGACGGUACUGUAUAAAUAAGCCCCGGCUAACUUCGUGCCAACAGCCGCCGCGGUAA
rnacentral:rRNA from 1 species